UACGUAGGGGCCUAGCGUUGUCCGGAAUUAUUGGGCGUAAAGAGCUCGUAGGCGGUUCGGCAAGUCGGAUGUGAAAUCUCCACGCUCAACGUGGAGGGGCCAUUCGAAACUGCCGUGACUCGAGUCCGGUAGGGGAGUGUGGAAUUCCCGGUGUAGCGGUGAAAUGCGCAGAUAUCAGGAGGAACACCAAUGGCGAAGGCAGCACUCUGGGACGUGACUGACGCUGAGGCGCGAAAGCGUGGGGAGCAAGCAGG
rnacentral:rRNA from 1 species